rnacentral:rRNA from 1 species
GGGGGGGGGGGGGGGGGGGGGGGGGGGGGGGGGGGCGGGGGGUGGGGCGGCUGCCUUGUGGGUGGGUGGGGGGGAGUGGCGAGCGGGUGAGUAACACGUGAGUAACCUGCGCCCUUCUUCUGGAUAACCGCAUGAAAGUGUGGCUACUCCGGGAUAUUCUGGGUCUGUCGCAUGAUGGGUCUGGGGAAGAUAUUGUUUCGGUUGGGGAUGGGCUCGCGGCCUAUCAGCUUGUUGGUGGGGUGAUGGCCUACCAAGGCGGUGACGGGUAGCCGGCCUGAGAGGGUGGACGGUCACACUGGGACUGAGACACGGCCCAGACUCCUACGGGAGGCAGCAGUGGGGAAUAUUGCACAAUGGGCGCAAGCCUGAUGCAGCGACGCCGCGUGAGGGAUGGAGGCCUUCGGGUUGUGAACCUCUUUCGCCAGUGAAGCAGGCCUGCCUCGUUUGUGGGUGGGUUGACGGUAGCUGGAUAAGAAGCGCCGGCUAACUACGUG